rnacentral:rRNA from 1 species
GCUGGCGGCAUGCUUAACACAUGCAAGUCGAACGGAAACAGGACGCUGGGAUCCCUUCGGGGUGACCUUGUCGCUGUCGAGUGGCGGACGGGUGAGUAAUGCAUAGGAAUUUGCCUCAAAGUGGGGGAUAGCCCGGAGAAAUCCGGAUUAAUACCGCAUGUGCUCCACGGAGGAAAGCGGGCCUCUACUUGUAAGCUCGCGCUUUGAGAUAAGCCUAUGUCGGAUUAGCUUGUUGGUGGGGUAAAAGCCUACCAAGGCGACGAUCCGUAGCUGGUUUGAGAGGAUGAUCAGCCACACCGGGACUGAGACACGGCCCGGACUCCUACGGGAGGCAGCAGUGGGGAAUAUUGGACAAUGGGCGCAAGCCUGAUCCAGCAAUGCCGCGUGUGUGAAGAAGGCCUGCGGGUUGUAAAGCACUUUUAUCGGGAAAGAAAUGCUGAAGGUUAAUACCCUUCGGUCUUGACGGUACCCGAGGAAUAAGCACCGGCUAACUCCGUGCCAGCAGCCGCGGUAAUACGGAGGGUGCAAGCGUUAAUCGGAAUUACUGGGCGUAAAGCGAGUGUA